AUGGACGAAGAAACCUCAUUUACGGCCGAUGAUAAUGGUACAAAUGAUGUCGGUCGGACCGAUAACGAUCCUAGUAAUGAAGAAGAUGACAGCAGCGAUAACGAUUCAUGGUCAUCAUAUGAUAUCUUACCUUCAGAGGAUUUUUCAAAUAAUGAACAUGGUGCAGACAGUGAAAACGAAGAUGUGGACGUUGGGAAUGAGCAAAAUAAUUUUGAGGAAUCGUGGGCCGAUAACUUGAGCCAGGAGGGUUCAGAUGGUCCCGAUGGUGGUGACGACGAAGCAGAGAUGGACAUUGAGGAGGCUCAAUACCAGCAGCGCGUGUUGGAGACACAUUGGAAGGUCAUGGCUAUGACUUUCCGGUCACAAGGGGAUGCAUAUAUAUUCUACAACAGGCACGCCAAAGAACAUGGGUUCAGCAUCAGGAGAGAGAAGGUGAAACGAGGGAAGGGUGCUUCAGGAAUAAUAUGGUUCAGGCGGUUUGUCUGCUCUAGGGCAGGGAGAAGGCAGAGGAAAUUCAUAACCAUGGAGGGUCGCACCCGCAGGCUUAGACCCGAGACUCGAUGCGAGUGCGGUGCACAGAUGGUGGUGAAAUUGGACAGGGCACGAGGAGUUUGGUUCGUCGCGUCAUUCGUGGAUGAUCACAACCAUGCGAUGGCUCGACCCGACGAGGUUCCUUUUUUGUGGUCACACAGACGGAUUGGAGAUGGCACAAGGGCAGAGAUACUGGCUAUGCAAGGGGCUGGAAUCAGGAAGCAUAUAAUUGUGGACAACUUCAUCAGUAGGUACGGUUCGUACGACAAAUGCGGACUUAUUAGGCGGGACGUGUACAAUCUUUGCUGCAGAGAGAAGAUGAAGCUCAUAGCAAAGGGUGAUGCUGAGACGGCAGUGGGCAUUAUGAGGAGCAGACAGGCGAAGGACCCAGACUUCUUCUUCGAGUACGAGCUAGAUAAGGAAGGGCGGUUGAAGUGUAUGUUUUGGUGCGAUGCACAGUCGCGGAGGGACUAUCAGGACUACGGAGAUGUGGUCGUGUUUGACAGCACGUAUAAGAUGAACAGAUAUGGUAUGCCGUUCGUCCCCUUCGUCGGUGUUAAUAACCACCGUUGCACAAUAGUUUUUGGGUGUGCCAUUGUUUUCGAUGAGACCGAAGCGACGUAUGUGUGGCUGCUCCAGACUUUUAUGAGGGCAAACUGUCAGCAGAAGCCAAAGUCAAUUAUCACAGACGGUGACGCUGCAAUGCUCCGAGCGAUUCGGAGUGUCCUUUCAGAUGUGCUCCAUCGUAUUUGCUCGUGGCAUAUCGAGAAAAAUAUGCAGAGGCACCUACAUUACAAGUCACUAGAUGAGUUUAGAUUGCUCCUGUACUAUGCCACCUCUGAAGAGAACUUUGAGGAGAGAUGGACCGCCUUUGUCAAUAAAUGGAAGACGGAUAAAACUGAAGAGUGGCUGAGGAGGAUGUAUAGGAAGAGGAGACUGUGGGCAGCAUCAUAUCUUUCGGAUGGCUUUUUUCUUGGUAUGUGUAGUAACCAGAGGAGCGAAAGCCUCAACUCCUCCCUUCACCUUCACCUUGACUAUGGUAUGACCAUAGUUGAUUUGGUAGUGCAUUAUGAGAACUGCAUAGUUCGCCUCCGUGAGAACGAGGCGAAUGAUGACUGUGAGGCCAAUCAGAAAGUACCACCGGCAGUUACUGAAUAUAAGGACAUUGAGGAGCAUGCUGCCAAAGUAUUCACUCCUGCUAAUUUCUACAUUCUGCAAAAUGAUUUGAAGAAGAUGGGAGAACUGGAGAUAUUUGAGACGCUGGUGGGAAUUGAGCGCCAGACCUUCAUCCUCACAUGGCAGAAUAACCACAAGUUCAGGUAUAAUGUUCUGUAUGAACCAGGUAACUCAGAAGAAACCUUAUCAUGCACGUGUCGCAGGAUGGUUCGGAAAGGGCUGCCUUGCAAACAUAUUCUCUUUGUUUUGCAUCAUCUUAAAUUGUCUGAAAUACCAAAGUGUUGUGUCCUCCAUCGGUUGUCUAAAGAUGCGAGAGAUGGGUUGCCAGCGCAACGCAAGAGUGAUCUUUUUGGUUGGGGUUGGUCUGGGCCUGAGGAGAGAGAACGGUACAGUCAAGUGAGCAUAAAAUCAGCAGAAGCUGCUCAUGUUGCAGCAAAUGACCCCUUCUUGUUUGAUGAAUUGAUGAAGUGCCUAGACGGUAUAAUAGCAAGGAAGAAGAUCCCGGAAGAGGAACUCAUAGGACGCAGAAGGUGUGCUCUAAUUGCAAAGCAGGCAAUUCAAGCGGAAGAAGUGCAGCAGGUAUACGUGAUCCUGAGAAAGUUUCAACGAAGGGUGCACCUAAGAAAGGCCGGUCAAAGGGUGGCCCUGACGUUACGAAAAAUGGUAGACCUAAAGAUUUUAGAGAGAAGAAAAGUGGUCCGUUAUGCAGUCUUUGCAAAUUUGCAGGUCAUAACAAGGCGACAUGUAGUCAAAACGAGAAGUACUGGGCGUAGAGAAGUGGCUUCGAUCAUGGGAAGAAGAAAACUGGUUGCACGAGUCAUGUUGGAAGUUGCUAUUUAUUUAUGUAAACAAGAAAACUUAAUAAGUGUUUUGUUUAUGUUUCUCAAAAUAAUUAUGUGA
rnacentral:rRNA from 1 species